rnacentral:lncRNA from 1 species
AAUUUAAUAAACCAUGAAUGCUAACUAAAUGGUCAUGUUGAAAAUUAAGAAGUAAUGUGCGUAAGUGUUGAGUCAUUGUAUUGGCAAGCAUGAGGUGUUGAACUACAAAUAUGAGGUGUUUAACAUUGGAUUGAUGAAAGCCACUAAGCUCACAUAUAUCCGAAGAAAAAAGAGACUUGGAAAAACUUAAUAAUUCAAAGCUAUUCUCAGACUUCUCCCUCUCUUUCUCUCGAGUUCCGUUCCAUUCCAUUCCAUUCUUCUCUCUAAAUUUCAAGUUACAAAUCACUAAAAUUUCCAAGGAGGCAAGGAGUGAAGUUAGUAAACUGAAAUUGAAGGCAAAACAGGUAAGAGGAAGAUUGAUUAUAGCUAAAAUCAAGAUUCAUGUAAAAAUUCGGUUGAUAUAUCAAUCAAAGAAGUAAGUUAUAUAUGUUGUUAAAUUUUUUAAAUUUUAGUAAAUAAGGUUUAGUUAUUGAAUUGAUUGAAUGGAAAUUGUUGGGAUUUUAAUAUGGGAGAUUAGGUGUUGUUGUGCUGAGUAAUAAGGAGGUGUUAUAUGGUGAUUAUUUGGCUAGAACCAUAUUCAAACUCUUAUGAAAACUGAUUUUUAAGGAUAUGACGACAAGUUGUUUGAUAGAAUGCUUGAAUGGGAUUUUUUUUCUAAAAAUUGAAAAUUAGCUAAUGUGGUGAGCUAAGAAGCAUUUAUACAUGUAUUAUGAUAUGUCCUAAGAUGUUUGGGUGAAUCAAACUAAGUCUAAAAGUAGUUCUAUGAACUUUGAG